ACGAAAAAAAGAAAUCAAACAGGAAUGGAGUGUGGAGCAGGUGUUUUUCAUUGUAAGGUUCUGGUAAACAGAGACGUAAUUUAACAUCGUCUCUGCCGGUAACGAGUAAGCGGGGAAUAAUUGGCCGCAGUGCCGUGUAAUAAUGAACUGUGAAACCAAUGUCUAAAACCUGCUGCUCGCCGCUUCCAUUGAUUGAAUGUCCUACGACGGCCGUCGUUGACUGUUUCCGAGAGUGAAUGAUACCUACGGAUAUCUUAGAUCUCUGCGGUACAGAUACGGUUACCUGCGACCUAACUGAAACAAAAAUGUAGAGUGGAUAGGUGCCACCAGCAGGGACUAAUACAUAGUUCCUAGUUAGUUCCUGCCACCAGUGUCCCAAUCCAGCCCAAAUUAACAUCCCAGCUAAUAACAGCAGAGCAGUUAUAACGUGCUCAUCGAGUACAGUGAUUGUUCGCUAAUUGGGGCACGACCUCACCCCAACUAGCGAAUGUCGUGCGCUAAUCGGGGUGGUUUGACAAGCGUCAAUGUUGUUUACUUUUUGCAUUGAACAAAAGAAAAUUUUACGCGCCAGAAAAUAUCGAUCCCGCCAAACACGGAAACAAAACGUCAACGCGUUUUUGACAUCACAUUCUGACGUUUAGCUGCUUUUUAAUUGGGUUUCGCCCCAAUUAGCGAACCCCCAACUAAAAAGCGCCCCAACUAUAAAAACCCCAAUUAGCGAACGUUCACUGUAUUACAUAUGAUCAACAAUAUUUUUUAACAAAUCUUAUUUAAAGUGAAUGAAAAAAAAAAAUGUCACUAGAAAAAUCAAAA